CGAACUCUGGUAUUGAUUGGUGCUUGCAUCAUGAUUUACAUUUGAGUGAGUGGCGAACUGGUGAGUAACACGUGGGAAACCUGCCCAGAAGCGGGGGAUAACACCUGGAAACAGAUGCUAAUACCGCAUAACAACUUGGACCGCAUGGUCCGAGCUUGAAAGAUGGCUUCGGCUAUCACUUUUGGAUGGUCCCGCGGCGUAUUAGCUAGAUGGUGGGGUAACGGCUCACCAUGGCAAUGAUACGUAGCCGACCUGAGAGGGUAAUCGGCCACAUUGGGACUGAGACACGGCCCAAACUCCUACGGGAGGCAGCAGUAGGGAAUCUUCCACAAUGGACGAAAGUCUGAUGGAGCAACGCCGCGUGAGUGAAGAAGGGUUUCGGCUCGUAAAACUCUGUUGUUAAAGAAGAACAUAUCUGAGAGUAACUGUUCAGGUAUUGACGGUAUUUAACCAGAAAGCCACGGCUAACUACGUGCCAGCAGCCGCGGUAAUACGUAGGUGGCAAGCGUUGUCCGGAUUUAUUGGGCGUAAAGCGAGCGCAGGCGGUUUUUUAAGUCUGAUGUGAAAGCCUUCGGCUCAACCGAAGAAGUGCAUCGGAAACUGGGAAACUUGAGUGCAGAAGAGGACAGUGGAACUCCAUGUGUAGCGGUGAAAUGCGUAGAUAUAUGGAAGAACACCAGUGGCGAAGGCGGCUGUCUGGUCUGUAACUGACGCUGAGGCUCGAAAGUAUGGGUAGCAAACAGGAUUAGAUACCCUGGUAGUCCAUACCGUAAACGAUGAAUGCUAAGUGUUGGAGGGUUUCCGCCCUUCAGUGCUGCAGCUAACGCAUUAAGCAUUCCGCCUGGGGAGUACGGCCGCAAGGCUGAAACUCAAAGGAAUUGACGGGGGCCCGCACAAGCGGUGGAGCAUGUGGUUUAAUUCGAAGCUACGCGAAGAACCUUACCAGGUCUUGACAUACUAUGCAAAUCUAAGAGAUUAGACGUUCCCUUCGGGGACAUGGAUACAGGUGGUGCAUGGUUGUCGUCAGCUCGUGUCGUGAGAUGUUGGGUUAAGUCCCGCAACGAGCGCAACCCUUAUUAUCAGUUGCCAGCAUUAAGUUGGGCACUCUGGUGAGACUGCCGGUGACAAACCGGAGGAAGGUGGGGAUGACGUCAAAUCAUCAUGCCCCUUAUGACCUGGGCUACACACGUGCUACAAUGGAUGGUACAACGAGUUGCGAACUCGCGAGAGUAAGCUAAUCUCUUAAAGCCAUUCUCAGUUCGGAUUGUAGGCUGCAACUCGCCUACAUGAAGUCGGAAUCGCUAGUAAUCGCGGAUCAGCAUGCCGCGGUGAAUACGUUCCCGGGCCUUGUACACACCGCCCGUCACACCAUGAGAGUUUGUAACACCCAAAGUCGGUGG
rnacentral:rRNA from 2 species